UUGUCCCUACGGGACGCAGCAGUGGGGGAUAUUGCACAAUGGGGGGAACCCUGAUGCAGCGACGCCGCGUGGGUGAAGAAGCGCCUCGGCGCGUAAAGCCCUGUCAGCAGGGAAGAAAAUGACGGUACCUGAAGAAGAAGCCCCGGCUAACUACGUGCCAGCAGCCGCGGUAAUACGUAGGGGGCGAGCGUUAUCCGGAUUCACUGGGUGUAAAGGGAGCGUAGACGGCCAAGCAAGCCAGGGGUGAAAGCCCGGGGCCCAACCCCGGGACUGCCCUUGGAACUGCUUGGCUGG
rnacentral:rRNA from 1 species